UUUCACUAGCGUCAAAUGAGAGCAGCAAGAUGUGGAAGCAAACGCUGGUACUUGUGUUAAUCGUUGCCGUGGUUUGCGCUACACAGACGUCUUACAACAGAUAUCCGUACAAAAAAGGCUACAGCGGUUACCGUGGCAACCAGCUUGGCGGUUACCACGGUGGUAAAUUUUUGAGCAACAGAUACAAAGGUUACCAUGGUGGCUAUGGUGGGUUAUACAGUUACUAUGGUAACUACCGCAGCCGUACACGUUACGGCAGAAAAUAUCGCAGACCAAGCUACAAUUUUAAACGAAAACCAACUUGGUACACGAAAAAGUACAGACACCCGUAUUACUGAGCAGUUGAGAGAAAUGAGUUUAGAUUUUCGGCGCAAAUAGAAGGUUGAAGGCGUUAGUCUCGUGACAUAGCUGAAGCAGUAUCUCUGAUAUUUGGCUGUCAUUUUAUCAAUCUUUAUUCAAUAUUCAACGUUGAUGCGGUUACGUCCAAUCUUGAAGGGCAUCGGAAACGUAGAUUCAGUUUGAGAGUAAGGCUGGAAAAAGAAGUUCUUGGCUGGAAUUUGCUUGAAAAAAGAUGCAGCUCGUUUCACCGAUACCACAAGGGUGUCCUUAAACUGGACGAAAAAGUAGAGACAAUUUACGGACCUCUAUAGUUAUCAUUUUCACAUACAUUCGUGCAGGACUCCGUUUAACAUAGAUCUUCAGUCAAUUAAAAUGAAGCACGCUUUUAUCUCUACCUCAUCUUAGUGUGCGCCAUUUGUUUUUCUUUUAACGGAAAAAGCUUCUUUGUGUGCUAGCGUAAUACUAUUACAAUGAUUUAUCUAUCACCCAAAGUACUUAAUAUUUACGGUUUCACAAGUUGAGGCAAGUUUUUAAUUUUAGGUCUCAUAAGUUGAAGCAAGUUUCUAUUUUAAAAGUAGGCCCCCGAUCUGCACUUAAAGGGAUAAUUGGUCUUGCAUUUUUACAUUUUUCAUAUUCAGCAAAAGAGGUUGAAAACCCGAGAUUUCCCCCAAUAUACUUUGAUGCGUCUUCAAAUAAAGGCAAAUAAAUCAUUGAUUUCUGU